ACGGGAGGCAGCAGUGGGGGAUAUUACACAAUGGGGGAAACCCUGAUGCAGCGACGCCGCGUGAGUGAUGAAGUAUUUCGGUAUGUAAAGCUCUAUCAGCAGGAAAGAUAAUGACGGUACCUGACUAAGAAGCACCGGCUAAAUACGUGCCAGCAGCCGCGGUAAUACGUAGGGGGCAAGCGUUGUCCGGAAUGAUUGGGCGUAAAGGGCGCGUAGGCGGCCCGGUAAGUCUGGAGUGAAAGUCCUGCUUUUAAGGUGGGAAUUGCUUUGGAUACUGUCGGGCUUGAGUGCAGGAGAGGUAAGUGGAAUUCCCAGUGUAGCGGUGAAAUGCGUAGAGAUUGGGAGGAACACCAGUGGCGAAGGCGACUUACUGGACUGUAACUGACGCUGAGGCGCGAAAGUGUGGGGAGCAAACAGGAUUAGAUACCCUGGUA
rnacentral:rRNA from 1 species